rnacentral:rRNA from 1 species
UACGUAGGGUGCAAGCGUUAAUCGGAAUUACUGGGCGUAAAGCGUGCGCAGGCGGUGAUGUAAGACAGAUGUGAAAGUCAAAGGCUCAACCUUUGAAAGCCGAUGGAUACUGCAGGGCUAGAGUCCGGAAGAGGCGAGUGGAAUUCCUGGUGUAGCGGUGGAAUGCGCAGAUAUCAGGAGGAACACCAAUAGCGAAGGCAGCUCGCUGGGACGGUACUGACGCUAAGGCGCGAAAGCGUGGGGAGCGAACAGG